UACAGGCUUAACACAUGCAAGUCGAGGGGCAGCAUGGUCUUAGCUUGCUAAGGCCGAUGGCGACCGGCGCACGGGUGAGUAACACGUAUCCAACCUGCCGUCUACUCUUGGACAGCCUUCUGAAAGGAAGAUUAAUACAAGAUGGCAUCAUGAGUCCGCAUGUUCACAUGAUUAAAGGUAUUCCGGUAGACGAUGGGGAUGCGUUCCAUUAGAUAGUAGGCGGGGUAACGGCCCACCUAGUCUUCGAUGGAUAGGGGUUCUGAGAGGAAGGUCCCCCACAUUGGAACUGAGACACGGUCCAAACUCCUACGGGAGGCAGCAGUGAGGAAUAUUGGUCAAUGGGCGAGAGCCUGAACCAGCCAAGUAGCGUGAAGGAUGACUGCCCUAUGGGUUGUAAACUUCUUUUAUAAAGGAAUAAAGUCGGGUAUGGAUACCCGUUUGCAUGUACUUUAUGAAUAAGGAUCGGCUAACUCCGUGCCAGCAGCCGCGGUAAUACGGAGGAUCCGAGCGUUAUCCGGAUUUAUUGGGUUUAAAGGGAGCGUAGAUGGAUGUUUAAGUCAGUUGUGGAAGUUUGCGGCUCAACCGUAAAAUUGCAGUUGAUACUGGAUAUCUUGAGUGCAGUUGAGGCAGGCGGAAUUCGUGGUGUAGCGGUGAAAUGCUUAGAUAUCACGAAGAACUCCGAUUGCGAAGGCAGCCCUGCUAAGCUGCAACUGACAUUGAGGCUCGAAAGUGUGGGUAUCAAACAGGAUUAGAUACCCUGGUAGUCCACACGGUAAACGAUGAAUACUCGCUGUUUGCGAUAUACAGCAAGCGGCCAAGCGAAAGCGUUAAGUAUUCCACCUGGGGAGUACGCCGGCAACGGUGAAACUCAAAGGAAUUGACGGGGGCCCGCACAAGCGGAGGAACAUGUGGUUUAAUUCGAUGAUACGCGAGGAACCUUACCCGGGCUUAAAUUGCAGAUGAAUUACGGUGAAAGCCGUAAGCCGCAAGGCAUCUGUGAAGGUGCUGCAUGGUUGUCGUCAGCUCGUGCCGUGAGGUGUCGGCUUAAGUGCCAUAACGAGCGCAACCCUUGUUGUCAGUUACUAACAGGUUCCGCUGAGGACUCUGACAAGACUGCCAUCGUAAGAUGUGAGGAAGGUGGGGAUGACGUCAAAUCAGCACGGCCCUUACGUCCGGGGCUACACACGUGUUACAAUGGGGGGUACAGAGGGCCGCUACCACGCGAGUGGAUGCCAAUCCCCAAAACCUCUCUCAGUUCGGACUGGAGUCUGCAACCCGACUCCACGAAGCUGGAUUCGCUAGUAAUCGCGCAUCAGCCACGGCGCGGUGAAUACGUUCCCGGGCCUUGUACACACCGCCCGUCAAGCCAUGGGAGCCGGGGGUACCUGAAGUGCGUAACCGCGAGGAGCGCCCUAGGGUAAAACUGGUGACUGGGGCUAAGUA
rnacentral:rRNA from 1 species